UGAGGCCCCUUCUAAAAACCGGGUGCGU
rnacentral:piRNA from 1 species